GACGAACGCUGGCGGCGUGCUUAACACAUGCAAGUCGAACGGAAAGGCCCUGCUUUUGUGGGGUGCUCGAGUGGCGAACGGGUGAGUAACACGUGAGUAACCUGCCCUUUACUUUGGGAUAACUUCAGGAAACUGGGGCUAAUACCGGAUAGGAGCUCCUGCUGCAUGGUGGGGGUUGGAAAGUUUCGGCGGUUGGGGAUGGACUCGCGGCUUAUCAGCUUGUUGGUGGGGUAGUGGCUUACCAAGGCUUUGACGGGUAGCCGGCCUGAGAGGGUGACCGGCCACAUUGAGACUGAGAUACGGCCCAGACUCCUACGGGAGGCAGCAGUGGGGAAUAUUGCACAAUGGGCGGAAGCCUGAUGAAGCAACGCCGCGUGCGGGAUGACGGCCUUCGGGUUGUAAACCGCUUUCGCCUGUGACGAAGCGUGAGUGACGGUAAUGGGUAAAGAAGCACCGGCUAACUACGUG
rnacentral:rRNA from 1 species